UGCACGUUUGGUGUGGGAGGAUUCGACCCCUUCUGCGCCGGAGCUAACGCGUUAAACGUGCCGCCUGGGGAGUACGGUCGCAAGAUUAAAACUCAAAGAAAUUGACGGGGGCCCGCACAAGCGGUGGAGUAUGUGGCUUAAUUCGAUGCAACGCGAAGAACCUUACCUGGCCUUGACAUGCAUCUCUAAGCGCGUGAAAGCGCGUGACUCUCGAAAGAGAGAAUUUGCACAGGUGCUGCAUGGCUGUCGUCAGCUCGUGUCGUGAGAUGUUGGGUUAAGUCCCGCAACGAGCGCAACCCCUGUGAACUGUUGCCACCGAGGCGUGAGCCUCGAGCACUCUGUUCAGACUGCCCCGCUUUAACGGGGAGGAAGGUGGGGACGACGUCAAGUCAGUAUGGCCCUUACGGCCAGGGCUGCACACGUACUACAAUGCCCAGUACAGAAUGAUCCGAGACCGCAAGGUGGAGGAAAUCUCUCAAAACUGGGCCCAGUUCGGAUUGGAGUCUGCAACUCGACUCCAUGAAGCCGGAAUCGCUAGUAAUGGCGCAUCAGCUACGGCGCCGUGAAUACGUUCCCGGGCCUUGUACACACCGCCCGUCACAUCAUGGAAGUCGCUUGUAGCCGAAGCCGGCGCGCUAACCCGCAAGGGAAGCAGCCUUCUACGCUAUGAGCGGUAACUGGGAUGAAGUCGUAACAAGGUAGCCGUAGGGGAACCUGCGGCUGGAUCACCUCCUUUCUA
rnacentral:rRNA from 1 species